GUUGUAAUUUGCAGAGGGCGCUUUGGCUUUGGCAGCGGUCCAAGUUCCUUGGAACAGGACGUCACAGAGGGUGAGAAUCCCGUACGUGGUCGCUAGCUAUUGCCGUGUAAAGCCCCUUCGACGAGUCGAGUUGUUUGGGAAUGCAGCUCUAAAUGGGAGGUAAAUUUCUUCUAAAGCUAAAUAUUGGCCAGAGACCGAUAGCGCACAAGUAGAGUGAUCGAAAGAUGAAAAGCACUUUGGAAAGAGAGUCAAACAGCACGUGAAAUUGUUGAAAGGGAAGCGCUUGCAGCCAGACUUGCUUGCAGUUGCUCAUCCGGGCUUUUGCCCGGUGCACUCUUCUGUAGGCAGGCCAGCAUCAGUUUGGGCGGUGGGAUAAAGGUCUCUGUCACGUACCUCUCUUCGGGGAGGCCUUAUAGGGGAGACGACAUACCACCAGCCUAGACUGAGGUCCGCGCAUCUGCUAGGAUGCUGGCGUAAUGGCUGUAAGCGGCCCGUCUUGAAACACGGACCAAGGAGUCUAACAUCUAUGCGAGUGUUUGGGUGUCAAGCCCGAGCGCGUAAUGAAAGUGAACGGAGGUGGGAACCCGCAAGGGUGCACCAUCGACCGAUCCUGAAGUUUACGGAAGGAUUUGAGUAAGAGCAUGGCUGUUGGGACCCGAAAGAUGGUGAACUAUGCUUGAAUAGGGUGAAGCCAGAGGAAACUCUGGUGGAGGCUCGCAGCGGUUCUGACGUGCAAAUCGAUCGUCAAAUUUGGGCAUAGGGGCGAAAGACUAAUCGAACUAUCUAGUAGCUGGUUCCUGCCGAAGUUUCCCUCAGGAUAGCAGUAACGUAUUCAGUUUUAUGAGGUAAAGCGAAUGAUUAGAGGCAUGGGGGUUGAAACAACCUUCACCUAUUCUCAAACUUUAAAUAUGUAAGAAGCCCUUUGUUACUUAAUUGAACGCGGGCAUUUGAAUGAAACGUUAUUAGUGGGCCAUUUUUGGUAAGCAGAACUGGCGAUGCGGGAUGAACCGAACGAGGGGUUACGGUGCCGGAGUACACGCUCAUCAGACACCACAAAAGGUGUUGGUUCAUCUAGACAGCAGGACGGUGGCCAUGGAAGUCGGAAUCCGCUAAGGAGUGUGUAACAACUCACCUGCCGAAUGAACUAGCCCUGAAAAUGGAUGGCGCUCAAGCGUGUCACCUAUACCCCUCCGCCGGGGCAAAAUUUACGCCCCGGCGAGUAGGCAGGCGUGGAGGCUCGUGACGAAGCC
rnacentral:rRNA from 2 species